UCUCCAGUAGCCCAGUUGGUAGAGCAGUUGACUUUUAAUCAAUUGGUCCGUGGUUCGAGUCCGCACUGGGGAG
rnacentral:tRNA from 1 species